rnacentral:ncRNA from 1 species
UUAAAGAUUAUGAAGAGGAAGAGUAGAUAUGAACUGCUUUUGUAGAGAAAAGGAUAAUAUGCUGAAAUAUCCUUUAAGUAAGAGUAUUGAAGAUCACCUUUGAAUUGAAUACUGAAUUUUAGUAAGUAUUUCCGCUUGGUUGCGUUAAAUUAUAAGAGAUGACAGUAUUACUAUGUAAACAUAAUAUAGAAUUGCUGUUAAAUUGGGUGGAACCGCAUGUAGAACUUGCCCCAGUA